rnacentral:rRNA from 1 species
CCUACGGGUGGCAGUAGUGAGGAAUAUUGGUCAAUGGACGAGAGUCUGAACCAGCCAAGUAGCGUGAAGGAUGACUGCCCUAUGGGUUGUAAACUUCUUUUAUAUGGGAAUAAAACGUUCCACGUGUGGGAUUUUGUAUGUACCAUAUGAAUAAGGAUCGGCUAACUCCGUGCCAGCAGCCGCGGUAAUACGGAGGAUCCGAGCGUUAUCCGGAUUUAUUGGGUUUAAAGGGAGCGUAGGUGGAUUGUUAAGGCAGUUGUGAAAGUUUGCGGCUCAACCGUAAAAGUGCAGUUGAAACGGGCAGUCUUGAGUACAGUAGAGGUGGGCGGAAUUCGUGGUGUAGCGGUGAAAUGCUUAGAUAUCACGAAGAACUCCGAUUGCGAAGGCAGUUCACUGGACUGCAACUGACACUGAGGCUCGAAAGUGUGGGUAUCAAACAGGAUUAGAUACCCUAGUAGUC